UACGUAGGGUCCGAGCGUUGUCCGGAAUUACUGGGCGUAAAGAGCUCGUAGGUGGUUUGUCGCGUUGUUCGUGAAAACUCACAGCUCAACUGUGGGCGUGCGGGCGAUACGGGCAGACUAGAGUACUGCAGGGGAGACUGGAAUUCCUGGUAUAGCGGUGGAAUGCGCAGAUAUCAGGAGGAACACCGGUGGCGAAGGCGGGUCUCUGGGCAGUAACUGACGCUGAGGAGCGAAAGCGUGGGGAGCGAACAGG
rnacentral:rRNA from 1 species